GACGAACGCUGGCGGCGUGCCUAACACAUGCAAGUCGAGCGAUGAAGUUUCCUUCGGGGAACGGAUUAGCGGCGGACGGGUGAGUAACACAUGGGUAGCCUGCCUUGUAGAGGGGGAUAGCCUUCCGAAAGGAAGAUUAAUACCGCAUAAGAUUGUAUGUUCGCAUGAAACAGCAAUUAAAGGAGCAAUCCGAUACAAGAUGGACCCGAGGCGCAUUAGCUAGUUGGUGAGGUAACGGCUCACCAAGGCGACGAUGCGUAGCCGACCUGAGAGGGUGAUCGGCCACAUUGGGACUGAGACACGGCCCAGACUCCUACGGGAGGCAGCAGUGGGGAAUAUUGCACAAUGGGGGAAACCCUGAUGCAGCAACGCCGCGUGAGUGAUGACGGUCUUCGGAUUGUAAAGCUCUGUCUUUGGGGACGAUAAUGACGGUACCCAAGGAGGAAGCCACGGCUAACUACGUGCCAGCAGCCGCCGUAAUAC
rnacentral:rRNA from 1 species